rnacentral:rRNA from 1 species
AUUGAACGCUGGCGGCAGGCCUAACACAUGCAAGUCGAACGAGAGGCGGACGGGUGAGUAAUGUCUGGGAAACUGCCUGAUGGAGGGGGAUAACUACUGGAAAAGGUAGCUAAUACCGCAUACAAUCAGAGGAGCCCAGAUGGGAUUAGCUAGUGGGUGGGGUAACGGCUCACCAAGGCGACGAUCCCUAGCUGGUGUGAGAGGAUGACCAGCCACACUGGAACUGAGACACGGUCCAGACUCCUACGGGAGGCAGCAGUGGGGAAUAUUGCACAAUGGGCGCAAGCCUGAUGCAGCCAUACCGCGUGUGUGAAGAAGGCCUUCGGGUUGUAAAGUACUUUCAGCGGGGAGGCGUUACCCGCAGAAGAAGCACCGGCUAACUCCGUGCCAGCAGCCGCGGUAAUAC